UGCGUAGGCGGAUCAAUAAGUCAGUGGUGAAAUCUCUCGGCUCAACCGGGAAACUGCCAUUGAUACUGUUGAUCUUGAGUUCGGUUGAGGUAGGCGGAAUGUGUAAUGUAGCGGUGAAAUGCUUAGAUAUUACACAGAACACCAAUUGCGUAGGCAGCUUACUAGACCGACACUGACGCUGAGGCACGAAAGCGUGAGGAGCGAACAGGAUUAGAUACCCUGGUAGUCC
rnacentral:rRNA from 1 species